rnacentral:lncRNA from 1 species
UUUCUAUUUUUAAAAGCUGUAAUAAAGAAAUCUCUUAGAUUAUAAUUUUUAAAUAUAUUGAUUUGUGAAUAAAGAUAACCAUGUAAAAACCCUGCAGUCAAUUUAGAACUUUGUUUCUACUAAACUCUGAGAUGUGUAUGUAGAGGGGGAGACAUCUUAUAAUGUCUUAAUUAGAUUCCAUCUGUUUAAAUUAGGUUCUUUGUGGCACAUACUACUUGUUGGUGAACACAGCUGUCUCUCCCCACAAAGGAACAUUUGUGAUGAUAUUACUGUUGACUAUACCAUCAAAUUCCCAUAAGGAAGUAAAAGUUUGGAUCAAGAACAUUUCAACACAAUGAAAAGUUUCUUCAUAUAAAAAAUGGAUUCAGUAGAUAAUCUCAACUACUUUCUUCAUAUUUUAAAAUGUUAUGGCUCUGGACUCAUUGAAAAUGAUGAGAAAAUCAAAGGCCAUGGAGUUCAGUGCUAGAGGUUUUCUCUCCCAAUAAGAUGGAGAUAAAUCAUGCAACUUUCCACCUUAUUAUCUACAUAAUGACCUAUGCAACCACAUUUCAAUCUGCUUUCUAAGGAAUUAAAUCAUUAGCCUGGAUUAAAUCUGGUCUGUUCUGCUUCCCUACUUGCUUCACAUUUCUUUCUUUACAGCCUCUUGUUUUGAAUGUACUUCUCUAAUCAGUGGCACCUUAGUGUACCUUAAAGUUAUCUCUGCUUUGAGGCCUUUUCUGUCCUUUAUCCCUGCAAACUGCAUUAAACAGAUAACUUUAAAAGUGAAGCUUUUCCCAAAGAAAUGUUCUCAGAUUUAAUAUCUCUGGUGGCUCUGUGGGAGAGGAAGUAGUAUCAAGCACCAUUAGUCAGGGUGAGAAACCAAACUGAGUUGACAUCUGGCCUGAUGAAGCACUGAUUUUAAAAGCGAGUAUAUCCAACAUCCAAAUCUGACCAGAACCCCAUGGUACUCUAAGAGUCAACACUUCUGAAUAUUCACCACAGAGCUAGAGGAUUCCUGAUGCCUGGGAAAGAGCCAGUGCACUUUGUAUAUUUCAAGACAUCUCAGGAAAUGAAAAUGAGUUUUUUGUUAACCCAAAGAAUUUGAAGGAUAUAUAAAGCCAUUCAAAAUCGAAUCAUUUUCUAUAAGGAAAGUCCUGUAUUUAAUGACAGAUAUAAGGGCAACUACUUGUAGCUUUUUCUCUGGGUGGAUCGUUUUUCUUGACUGGAAGGAAAACUGCUCGUAUGGAGAACAUUUCCAUUGAAUUCUUGAUUCAUCCUAUUCCAGGCAUUUUGAUAAUCAAUUAUCAGUGCUGUCUUGGAUAAUCCUCAAAGAACACUAUGAGAUAGGCACUAUUUAUUCCCAUUUUGCAGAGUGUAAAGCUGUACUACAGUGAGAAAAAAAUAACUUGUCAAAAUUGCAUAGACAGGGUUCACUAUGUGGUAAAAAAACAUACAGUAAAAUAUUAACGUCAGCAUCUAGGCAGUGGGUAUAUGGAUGUUACCUGUAACUUUUCUGCUUCAACACUUUCAUUAAAAAUGUUGACAGAAAUACCACACAGCUAAUGACUAGAAGACUGGGAAUUUCUCUCAGGCCUGACUGCUUCUAAAAAUAACUCCCCUAACCUUCCAGUGCUGAUCAAUUUUGCAGGAGUAUUACUAGAAUGUAACGUCUGUCAUACCAUGGGAAGAGCAUGCAAUUUGGGAAAAGAAGAGCUGAGUUCAAGUUCCAGAUCCACCACUUUUCAGCUGAUCUUUAUUGCUAAUAAAUAAAGCCAAGCUUACA